UUUAUCUCUGCCCGACGCGCAGACGCAGGCUUUUCUUGGCUAGUUCAUUGAUGUUACUCACUCACUCGCGUCGCACCAAGCCUAUGUUGAAUCUUCUUGUAAGCCUCCAGUUUUGCACUCCGUAGGUAAAAUGUAUCUUUUAGCAAUCAUUAUAUUCAUCAUAAUUUCCACCUAUGGCUCUUGGGUGACACCGGAAGAAGUGACAGCUGAUUCAGGAAGCGCCACGGAUGACCCCGACUUUUGUACCACAUGGUGCAAUAACGAAGAACGCCAAGACGACGAGAACCCCGAUCAACCACAACCAUGCAGCAAUUUUUACAAAUACGUGUGUGAAAACGAAAAGCGCGAUGUGGCGGUAGUUUCUGAUGAUUAUUAUGAAGAAACGGAAAUUCAAGAAAGCCAUUUAGAAACAGAAGUAAUACAGAAAAUUCGAGAUAUUUUAGAGAAGGAAGAAAAUGAUAACGGAACACAAGACUCGGGAACACCUAUUACGAAUGAAGUGAAUAUUCAUCAUAUUGCGAAGAAAAUUUACGCCGCCUGCAUA